rnacentral:rRNA from 1 species
AUUGAACGCUGGCGGCAGGCCUAACACAUGCAAGUCGAGCGGAUAAUGGGUGCUUGCACUCUGAUUCAGCGGCGGACGGGUGAGUAAUGCCUAGGAAUCUGCCCGAUAGUGGGGGACAACGUUUCGAAAGGAACGCUAAUACCGCAUACGUCCUACGGGAGAAAGUGGGGGAUCUUCGGACCUCACGCUAUCGGAUGAGCCUAGGUCGGAUUAGCUAGUUGGUGAGGUAAUGGCUCACCAAGGCGACGAUCCGUAACUGGUCUGAGAGGAUGAUCAGUCAAACUGGAACUGAGACACGGUACAGACUCCUACGGGAGGCAGCAGUGGGGAAUAUUGGACAAUGGGCGAAAGCCUGAUCCAGCCAUGCCGCGUGUGUGAAGAAGGUCUUCGGAUUGUAAAGCACUUUAAGUUGGGAGGAAGGGCUGUCGGCUAAUACCCUGCAGUUUUGACGUUACCAACAGAAUAAGCACCGGCUAACUUCGUGCCAGCCGCCGCCGUAAAAC